rnacentral:rRNA from 1 species
GACAGAGGGUGCAAACGUUGUUCGGAAUUAUUGGGCGUAAAGCGCGCGCAGGCGGUCCUUUAAGUCUGAUGUGAAAGCCCACGGCUCAACCGUGGAGGGUCAUUGGAAACUGGGGGACUUGAGUACAGAAGAGAAGAGUGGAAUUCCACGUGUAGCGGUGAAAUGCGUAGAGAUGUGGAGGAACACCAGUGGCGAAGGCGACUCUUUGGUCUGUAACUGACGCUGAGGAGCGAAAGCAUGGGGAGCGAACAGG